AUUGAACGCUGGCGGCAGGCCUAACACAUGCAAGUCGAGCGGGGUUUUCGGACCUAGCGGCGGACGGGUGAGUAAUGCGUAGGAAGCUGCCCGAUAGAGGGGGAUACCAGUUGGAAACGACUGUUAAUACCGCAUAAUGUCUACGGACCAAAGUGUGGGACCUUCGGGCCACAUGCUAUCGGAUGCGCCUACGUGGGAUUAGCUAGUUGGUGAGGUAAUGGCUCACCAAGGCGACGAUCUCUAGCUGGUUAGAGAGGAUGAUCAGCCACACUGGAACUGAGACACGGUCCAGACUCCUACGGGAGGCAGCAGUGGGGAAUAUUGGACAAUGGGCGCAAGCCUGAUCCAGCCAUGCCGCGUGUGUGAAGAAGGCCUUCGGGUUGUAAAGCACUUUCAGCGAGGAGGAAGGGUGGUGUGUUAAUAGCACAUCAUUUUGACGUUACUCGCAGAAGAAGCACCGGCUAACUCUGUGCCAGCCGCCGCAGUAA
rnacentral:rRNA from 1 species